UUUUUUUUUUAUCGAGGACCUUGAAUUUCAAUAUUAUUGAAAGCUGAACAGACAUGUACAUUUUGUAUAUAACUACAACCAGGGACUUUCUAUAAUAGUAUAUACUUAGUAUAGAAAGUUCUUGCUACAACGAAUGGGAGUGUUUAUCUACUAACGUAUUGAACAUAAUACUCUCGUAAGAUCGGGAGACAAUAACAAAAAUGAUCCAACAGCUGAUUCAGCCGGUAACGAAAUUUCCGAUAUCAUAAAAGAUUCCAAAAAAAAAAAGGGAACUUCCUCUGCUUAAUUGAGCCCCUAAAUAAAUUUGAAAUAUUGUAUAUGUGUUCUCGUACAAAAACUGAAUAACACUGAGACGGACGGC
rnacentral:lncRNA from 1 species